GGAACCCAUGUGGGGUUUUGUUUGAUGUAUUAUUUUUUUACAUAGGUAUAAAAACACGAUCCUCUUUUGAAACCCAGAACUCAUUGUUCUGUAUGAGUUCUGGUGCAGAUAAGAAGGAACAUA